rnacentral:tRNA from 1 species
GCAGCAGUAAAACGGCUCAGAGGUAGAACGCCCGGCUCAUCCGGGUGGGCGCCGGUUCGAGCCCGGCCGGCGGGCUCA